UCUUGUUGUACUUACUGUUAAUUUAACUGUUUUGAAUGUAUACCCUUAGCUAUUACUCAGUGGGAUAAGGCUGUUGUAAAAAGCUCUUAUAUGUUAAUCUAUUGAGUGAAAAUCCAAUUGAGUUUGUAUUUUGUAGUGUUUCUAGGUAUAGAUGUUGUUUGGAUACUUUAGCCACUGUUGACCGGCCAUGUAUUGGAAACAGGUUAAGAAGCUGGGAAAACGGGCUGACACUUCUCAAUUUCGUACUCAGUUGGAUGCUCUGGGAUUACGCAUUGUUGAAGUGACUGCAGAUGGUAAUUGUUUCUUCAGAUCCCUUGCUGAUCAGUUGGAAGGCAAUGAGGAAGAACAUAAAAAGUACCGCAGCACGGUUGUAAAACACAUAUUGGAUAAUCGAGAGAUGUUUGAGCCCUUUAUUGAAGAUGAAGUACCAUUUGAUGAGUAUUGCCAAUCCAUGGAAAAUGAGGGUACAUGGGCUGGACAUAUGGAAUUGCAGGCAGCUUCUCUUGUAACACGUAGUAAUAUAUGCAUUCACAGGCACAUGUCUCCUCGGUGGUACAUAAGAAAUUUUGACGAUUAUGGAGUUCGCAUGGUUCAUUUGUCUUAUCAUGAUGGGGAGCAUUAUAACAGUGUGCGGUUGAAGGAUGAUCCUUGUGAUGGGCCGGCAAGGCCGAUUGUAAUCAAGGCUGAUGCUGAUCUUUCAGUACCUUCACAUGAAACAAAAGUCAUGAACAACAAAACCCGUGGGCGAGCUGGUAAGGAAACUUUUCAACCGGGGUCCAUAAAGUUGGUUAUGGCUGGAACUGGAUGUGAAAAUGCUGAAAAAGUGGAACAGAUUCUAGGGCAGGUACAUGGAGACAUUGAUGCUGCGAUAGAAUUUCUAAUAGCAGAGCAAGGAACUGAAGAGUGCUCUGCGAACUCAGAUUCCCUACCUAGUCGGGCUAAUACUUAUGCACGUAUAGGUCAUGAUGAAAAUGAGAACCAUAAGCAACACAAAGAGGACAAGGUAGAGGACAGCACUAAUGAUGAAUCAAACAAUAGUUCCAGGAAGACCAAUAUCAAAUUGCAACCAAUUGAUAAGAUUCCUAGAAACAAGGUCUGCCCGUGUGGUUCCAAAAAGAAAUAUAAAGCUUGUUGUGGAUCUGCCUUGGGAACACAAUCUGCUAAGUUUCUAGUUAACCAAGCAGCUGACGCACGAAGAGGGAAAAAUGAAAGGAAGCGAGGAGAAAAGGGGAUUUCUGCAAAAGUAGAAGCGCCUAGUGAAUACGAUUUGGUAACACCUGACGUGGGCGCCCUUUGUAUUUGAAUUGACAAUAGAUAAGUUGAUUGUGCUGCACCAGAGGAGAUGAUACUGAAGGAGUGUAUACCAACUUCACAUCUAGGCUUUAUUCAAAAGUGCAUCCUGUGUCCUUGUUUGCUUUUGGCAGAAACCACAUCGGGUACAGGAAAGGAAUGUACAGAAGCAGAAAUAGAGUUACAGAAAUCAUUUACAAUUUUUGUUCUUCCGGCAAGAUGCUUUUGGGAAGAAUGUGGAAGUUUUGAUCAUUUUUUUCAUCGGAAAUCUCGUGUGAGAAUCAGUUUUGCCAAAAAUAUAGGGUAGAAAUAUCAUCAUUAUGAUUUAGUCAAAAAGUUCAGCUGAACAAGGGUCCUUUUUCCUUUUAACAUUUUCGGCUAGAGUCAAUGGACCUAAUCAACCAGAGAAAAAUUUCUUACAUUAUCUCAGUAAUACAAGACUAGAGUGGUUCAAAUGAGGAA